AAAAAACUUGACGCAUUAUCUCUUCAGAAUAUAUUUCCAAGUAUAACAACGAAACAACUAUCAAGUAUCAAUUUUUAAAAAUGGCUAUCAGAAAUAUAUGCCAGAUUGUGUUUAUAAUGUCUGCUGUUGUGUUUAUGGCACAAGUAAGUGCGGAAGAAAAUACAAAUGGUGAUGUCAAUAUGAAAUCUCCAAGCCGAAUUGAGUCUCUUGGAUUUCCAAUUGAACUAGAGCCUGAUCAUAAAGAAGUAAAGUUAUAUCUUGAUAAAGCCUACAAGAAAUUUGCAUUAAAGUAUCCAGGAGACAAUUAUCCAGUUAUUGUUAAAACAGUACGGGCAACUCGUCAACUUGUCGCUGGCCUGCUUUAUGAAAUAACCAUCAACAUUGGUACAAGUGAUUGUGCAAAAAGCGUAGAGUCUCCGACAAACUGUGUUCUUCUAGCUAGUAGCCCAAUCACCAAAUGCGUUGUCACAGCCUGGGUUAAAUCAUGGCAAAAUUUCGAACAGAUUGACAUUGCUUGCGAUGGUUUGACUGCCAGCUCUGAAUAAUGAUUUAUUUUUUCAAUAUUGAAAUUUAACUUAUAUUUUUUAAAACGUUGAUUAAAUUUAUUUCAAAAUUUAAUCAAUAUUUUAUAAAAUUACAGUAAAACUUCUUUAUAUUUGCAUUCUGAAUAACGUAGUUGAUCAAGAAUAAAUUCAAAAUGAAAAGAAAGCAUAUUGUUAUCGAUUCUA